AUGGAUGGGCCUGCUGAGACUCCUGCUGUUACGGAGCAUGAGAUGAGCGAGAUCCCUGAACCUACCAGCGGUGAGCAAGCCGAUGCUAGCAUUGAGGAACAAGCCAAUCCUGAGAGUGAUGUGCCAGAGCAGAUCAAGGAAGAAGCGGAAAAUACAUCUGAUGAGGAACCCAAAGGCACAAACAACGAAGAAUCUGGGAACCCGAGUGAUGAAGCACAGGUGACUGUAAAAGAUGAGGAUAUGGGGGAUCAAAAUAGCGAGGACCAGGCUAUCCGUUCACUUGAAGAGCCAGCUGAAGCAGAGCAACUGGCCAAUGUGGAGACGGAAGACACGAAAUGGCCUGGGUGGCCUGGAGAAAGUGUGUUCCGUGUACUGGUUUCUGCCCAAAAGGUGGGUGCGCUCAUUGGCCGCAAAGGGGAAUUUAUCAAAAGAAUGUGUGAUGAAUCCAAAGCCCGCAUAAAGAUUCUUGAUGGCCCACCAGGUGUUCCAGAAAGAGCUGUAAUGAUUUCAGCAAAGGAUGAGCCAGAUGCACUCGUUCCGCCAGCCAUUGAUGGUCUGCUCAGAGUACAUAAUAGAAUAACAGAUGGUUUAGACAGUGAAACCGACCAGGCUCAGCGAGGUGCUGGUCCUGCAGGGCCAACACGGCUACUUGUGCCAGCUUCCCAAGCUGGCAGCCUGAUUGGCAAGCAAGGAGCAACCAUUAAAUCAAUACAGGAUGCUUCAAAGUGUGCUCUCCGCAUUCUUGAGAAUGUGCCACCUGUAGCACUAAAUGAUGACAGAGUUGUCGAGAUACAAGGUGAACCUCAUGAUGUUCACAAAGCAGUGGAACUGAUUGCAAGCCAUUUGAGAAAAUUUCUUGUUGACCGUAGUGUUCUCCCUUUAUUCGAAAUGCAGAUGAAAGUGCACAGUGCGCCCAGAGAGCAACCUAUGCCUGCUCCUCAGCAGUGGGGUCCUCCUCCGCCCUGGAGUCAUCCACCAAACAUUCCUCCCAGUGGCCCAGGUUAUGGUGGGAAUCCACAUUUUAUGCCGCCACGGCCACAAGACAACUAUUAUCCUCCUCCUGAUGUGCACCAUGUGGAAAAGCAACCGCACUAUGGGAUUUCUUCAUAUGGACGUGAUGCAAAUCCAACUGCUGCUCCUACCUCAGGGAAUCAACACCUAUCGCAUGGGUCUUCUCAAAUUUCGCAAAAAAUGCAAGUUCCUCUUUCCUAUGCUGAUGCUGUGAUUGGGUCUGCUGGUGCCAAUAUUAGCUAUAUCCGCAAGCAUAGUGGUGCGACAAUAAGUAUUCAAGAAGGUGUUCCUGGGGAGAUGACGGUCGAGAUCGCAGGAAGUGCCUCACAAGUUCAAACUGCUCAGCAGCUGAUCAAGAAUUUCAUGGCCGAAGCUUCUCCCCAAGUUCCUCCACCAGGUCCCGCUCCUCCCUCCCAACCAGUUGACUCGGGCUACAACUCAUACCCGCCGUAUGGAGGACCGUCGUAUGCAACCCCUCCAGGCGGCGCAGGUCCUACCCCUCACAAUGGGGGAGGCUAUGGGGCACACUACCCGCCGAACUACGGGUACUAG
rnacentral:rRNA from 1 species